GUUCCGGACUAACACUCGCUUCGAGGUUUUUGAAAAGCAGCUUUUUGCAAUAAAAAUAGUGGAGAGAGGAGGCUCGUUCAUCCAUCUGUGCUAUAAAAAUAAAAUCAUACUGAGGGGAAAACUUUAUAUUUGUAUUGUGUAAAAUUUUCGGUCCAGACGAUUGUUUUAAAGGAACAUGGUUUAUUAAAAUUGGGAUAUAGUGCCUGAUUAAUAUUUGUAACUGACAAAACUAUGCUGAUAGCCUUGAGAGGCUAUUUCAGCUUCUCUUUGACGUGUAGGUGAGCUCAAAAGAAUGAAACCGGAGUGUUGCUAACACUGGCCCUAGCAAGGGCAAUGCUUCGCAGAAUCUACCACCGGAUCGGAAUAGCGACUCACUGAGAAGAUCCCGCGAGAAACUCAGUGGGCUGUGUUAACAGUAACCAUAGAUACUGAAACAUACUUCAUUUUGCUGUAAUGAAUAUUAUUCCUGGUAGUAGGGCAUCUUGUGAGCCCGCACGAUUGGUUGGUUAGACUACCUUGAUCCCUUGUAUAACUGGGGCCAAAUCCGCACGUCUCAACCUGGAUGUCGGCAUUCACGUUGUGAUGUCUAAAAGCUCCGGUAAAUACUUAACACCUGAUGGGCCGUAAGCUCGUUCAACCGUCUAGGCAAAAGCUGAAAAAAUCAUCGAUAUACCAGUUCGAGCCUGUGCCACACCGCAAGAGAGGAAAACACCUCUGACGAACCAUGAGCAGAAGGUUUAUAAACGACGCAAAAAUUGUUGCAGAAUGCAAAUUUUGUUAGAUUAUAUUCAAAUUCAUGUAAAAUGUUUAAACUUCAUAUAUAUAUUUUUUGCAAUAAAAAUAAAAUCUUAAUUUUUGUUGAAUCCUUCAAGUCGGAGACGAAGGCGGCUCGGACGCGACAACAAUAAAACUGAGGUCAAGGAAACGAAUGACAAGGACAAAAUAUGUAUCUAGCUUAAUAAGCAUGGUACCUAUAGGUUUCGAAGCAACAUAUUUCAAGUUAGAUCAAUUUAUGUAUUAGGUGUAUUAUCAAAUGAUUCACUUGUUAAUUAUUUAUAUAAAUAAAAAUAUAUGUAUCGUAUGUAAUAAAUACAUUUUAUUAGA